AUUGAACGCUGGCGGCAGGCCUAACACAUGCAAGUCGAACGAGUGGCGGACGGGUGAGUAAUGUCUGGGAAACUGCCUGAUGGAGGGGGAUAACUACUGGAAACGGUAGCUAAUACCGCAUACCAUCGGAUGUGCCCAGAUGGGCUUAGCUAGGAGGUGGGGUAACGGCUCACCUAGGAGACGAUCCCUAGUUGGUCUGAGAGGAUGACCAGCUAUACUGGAACUGAGAGACGGUCCAGCCUCCUACGUGAGGCAGCAGUGGGGAAUAGUGCACAAUGGGCGCAAGCCUGAUGCAUCCAUGCCGCGUGUAUGAAGAGGGCCUUCGGGUUGUAAAGUACGUUCAGCGGUGAGGCGUUACCCGCAGAAGAAGCACCGGCUAACUCCGUGCCAGCAGCCGCGGUAAUUC
rnacentral:rRNA from 1 species